rnacentral:rRNA from 1 species
AGUGAACGCUGGCGGUAGGCCUAACACAUGCAAGUCGAACGGCAGCACAGUGAGAGCUUGCUCUUACGGGUGGCGAGUGGCGGACGGGUGAGGAAUACAUCGGAAUCUACUUUUUCGUGGGGGAUAACGUAGGGAAACUUACGCUAAUACCGCAUACGACCUACGGGUGAAAGCAGGGGAUCUUCGGACCUUGCGCGAUUGAAUGAGCCGAUGUCGGAUUAGCUAGUUGGCGGGGUAAAGGCCCACCAAGGCGACGAUCCGUAGCUGGUCUGAGAGGAUGAUCAGCCACACUGGAACUGAGACACGGCCCAGACUCCUACGGGAGGCAGCAGUGGGGAAUAUUGGACAAUGGGCGCAAGCCUGAUCCAGCCAUACCGCGUGGGUGAAGAAGGCCUUCGGGUUGUAAAGCCCUUUUGUUGGGGAAGAAAAGCAGCAGGUUAAUACCCCGCUGUUCUGACGGUACCCAAAGAAUAAGCACCGGCUAACUUCGUG